rnacentral:rRNA from 1 species
GACGAACGCUGGCGGCGUGCUUAACACAUGCAAGUCGAACGAAGAGCGAUGGAAGCUGGCUUCUACCAAUCUGAGGGGCGAACGGGUGAGAAACGCGUAACCAACCUGCCCUUCAGAGGGGGACAACAGAAGGAAAGGACAGCAAAUACCGCAUACGAUCUCAUCACGGCAUCGAGGAUAGAGGAAAGGUGGCCCCGACAGGUAAGCUAGCACUGAAGGAGGGGAGUGCGUCUGAUUAGCUAGUUGGAGGGGUAAGGGCCCACCAAGGCGAGGAUCAGUAGCCGGUCUGAGAGGAUGGACGGCCACAUUGGGACUGAGACACGGCCCAGACUCCUACGGGAGGCAGCAGUGGGGAAUCUUCCGCAAUGGACGGAAGUCUGACGGAGCAACGCCGCGUGAGUGAUGACGGCCUUCGGGUUGUAAAGCUCUGUUAAUCGGGACGAAAGGCCUUCUUGCGAAUAGUGAGAAGGAUUGACGGUACCGGAAUAGAAAGCCACGGCUAACUACGUG